rnacentral:lncRNA from 1 species
GAGAUAGAAGACGAGCUGGAUCUCCAGGCUGCUCCGUCGGCAUAGAACCCAAUGGGAGGACAUGAGUGUAGCUAGAGGAACCACCUUCUCAAGGACCUUACUACCUAGACCCUGGAUGCUCAAAGCUUAAUCCUGGCCCUGGCUGUCUGGAACCGUGACACCCCUGAAAUGUGGUCUUGAACUUGCAAAGUUGCACUGGGG